GUGCCGGCGGCGGCGGUGGGAAGCGUGGGUACCCUGCAACAUUAGGAGGCUCCUUCGUUGCUACAGUACUUAGUUUCCCCUUCGUCCUUCCUUCUUUUCAUUUGUCACCAAGCCUCCCGGGGUGUCGGCCCUCCUCCUGGUUGGCCACCGGAGAAGGGAAUCAUCUCGCACUAACCCUGCCUCCCCACGUCCUCUCAGCGACACCAGCUCUGCCCAGCAGGUGCCCUAGGUCCAAAGAUACCUCUGCCAGAAGUUUGCAUUUGUCUUUCUACAUGAAGGAGUUUCUGGAGGACUGAUACUGUCUUUCCCCUGUGUGUUUGGAGGAGUUAAGCAGUGAGAGCAUCUAAAUCUGGAGUUUUCCUUUGUGGAAAGUUUCUUUAAAGUCAGCUGUUUGAGGUAUGAUUUGUAAAAAUAAAAUUUACCAAUUUCUAAGUAUAGUUUCAUGAGUUCUGACAAUUACAGGCAGUCAUGCACUUGUACCCACCACCACAAUCAGCAUAUGGAACAGUUCGUCACCCCAGAGAAGUCCCUGGCACCCUCCCGCAGCCAGUUCCCGCCGUCAGCCCGGCCCCGUGGGGCCAAGCACGUGUGCCUUUUUCUGUACCCCUCCCGAUUCAGCUGAUGCCUCUGGGGCUCCCCCGUGCUGCCGCCUGUGUGCCUGUGGCUAACCUCCACUCGGCUGAGGCACGAGCUCUCCGUGGACACUCAGACUUGGAAAUGAAGAGCUCUGAAAAUGUGCACAGUCUGAACGUCUUCAUGUCUUUGGAAAAAAACCUAGGACUGGGCUUGCCCGGUCAUGAGGUAAGAGUAUGUUUAACUUAAUUAGAAACUGCCAAACACUUUUGCCAAGUAGCUGCAUCUGUGCCGGCGAUGGAGGAGACUGCAGGGCCCCCCACCCUCACUAGUACUGUCUGAUUCCAGCCAUUCUCCUCCGUGUGCAGCGGUAUCUCAGCAAGAUUCUGAUUUACAUCUUCCUAAACAUGCUGAACAUCCUUCCAUGUGCUCAUUGCCAUGUGAGUUUCUCUUUGGUGAAGAGUCUUCUCAAACCUUUGGCCCAUUUAUUAUGAGGUUGUUUGUUUUCUUUUUGUGAAAGUGUGUGUACUAUUUUAAUAUAUGUAAAUUUUUUCAACUCCUUUGGCACAUAUUUUGUCAAAUUUAUUUCUAAGUAUGCCAUGUUUUUGAAGAUACUCUACAUGCCAUUAAAUUUUUUGUAACUUAAUUUUAAAAAAUUUUAUUGAGAUAAUGGUGGUUUCACAUGGAGCUUUAAUAAUAGAUCUGUGUACACCUUACCCAGUGUCUACUAAUGGUAACAUUUGCAAAACUAUAGUAUAAUAUCACAAAACUAUAGUGUAAUAGCAAUAUAUUAUACUGUUGAUACGAUUCAGCAGUCACACUCAGAUUCUCCCGCUGCAUACCCUUCUGAGAGUGUUCAGACCUACAUGGUUUCAUCAGCCAUGUGGGUUCCUGCAUCCUCCAGGUGGUCCACGUGCUAAACACCUCCCUCAUCCCCAGGGUCCCUCCUGCUGACGUUUUAUAACCUCCCUUCCUCUCACUCCACUCCAUCCCGAACGUCUGGCAACCACUAAUCUGCUCUCUAUUUCUAAAAUGUUGCCGUUUCAAAAAUGUUAUGAAAGUAGAAUCAUACAGUCUGUUUCCUUUUGGUGGUUUCUUUUACUAGGCUCAGUCCCUACUGGACACCCAUCCAGGUUGUGUGCAUCAAUAGUUUGGUCCUUUUGACACUGAGGAGUGUUCCAUGCUGUGGAUGGGCUACCGUUUGCUUAACCAUUCAGCUGUUGAAGGAUGUCUGGGCUGUCCCAGUUCUUGGGUGGUACCAAUAAAGCUGCUAUAAGCAUUCAUGCACAGGUGUUGUACGAACAUUAUCAACUGCUCUGGGAUAAACAUCCAACAGUACAAUGGCUGGAUCAGGUGGCAGCUGCACGUUUAGUUUUACAAGAAAACUUCCAAAUUAUUUUCCAGGGUGGCUGUACCAUUUUACGCCCCCUCAAGUGGCCCAGUGUCCCCGCGUCCGUACUGGCAUUUGCUCUUCUCCUUAAUUUUGAUUUUAGCUGUUCUGACAGGUUGUAGUGACAGUUCGUUGUGGUUUGGGGUCACAUCCCCCUGGCGGCA